AGUGUCCUCUUUCUUCAUUCUGCACUCUUCCUAUAAAAUGUUGUGGAAGCGGUAAAGUAUUCGAAUUGACAUUUAUUAUAGUACAGAGAGAAUACUGAGGUGCUUUUGGGGUGGACACUUCGUCAGGAAACUGAGAUGCGAGAGCUUUUGCCUCCCUCCUCAGAGCUGCGCUAGUGCUACAAAGCUCCAGCUUCCAGUGUAAUACAAGACAUCAUGGAGGAGACAUUGCCACCAGUGGUUGCUCGAGAAAGGUAUUUCUUAGCCGCCCGAACUGGAGACGUCAAGGGCAUCAAGGACAGUCUAGAGAACAGUGCCAAGCAUAGCAUGGAUAUAGACAGCGUCGAUGCUAAUGGGCGCUCUGCACUCCACAUAGCGAUAGCAAAUGGAAACCUGGCUGUUAUAUACCUGCUUCUUGAACACAACGUCCAAAUAAAGGAUUCUCUUGAGAGCUGUGGAGCACAACUUCGGGGAAGCUGUCAGGAUUCUGUGCGAUGUUGCUAACAAGUCAAGGGAUUAUGCAGAGGGUCGACAGAUUAUUGACUGCCGUUGCUCCAAUGAUGACUUCCAUCCUUACAUCAAUCCAAUCAUUCUCGCUGCUCAAAGAAAUAAUUUCCAGAUGGUGAAGCUAUUCCUAGAAGCUGGUGCACGCAUCCCAUGAGCCCGCGACGCGGCCGUUAACACCGCCUCUACAGACAGUUUCCAGCGAUCCGUCGCCACGAUGGAGAUAUACAAAGGUCUCGCGAGCGAGGCAUACAUAGCCAGAGCGAGCAACGACCCAGUGGAUCGGGCGUUAACGCUCUGUGAUGAGAUCAGACGACUUGGUGAGAUCGAGAUUGAGUUCAAAGUGUUGUAUAAUGAACUAGAGGUGAAUAUGGAAUGAUUCUCUACGGAGUUUAUCUCGCAGGCAAGAAGUACGGAAGAGAUUAUGACGGUCCUGUCCAACCCUGAUGAAGACAACCCAAUGAGUAGUGAAGAGACUUCACAUUCACCUCUACCUAAGAUA